UGAGUAAUGCCUAGGAAAUUGCCCUGAUGUGGGGGAUAACCAUUGGAAACGAUGGCUAAUACCGCAUGAUGCCUACGGGCCAAAGAGGGGGACCUUCGGGCCUCUCGCGUCAGGAUAUGCCUAGGUGGGAUUAGCUAGUUGGUGAGGUAAGGGCUCACCAAGGCGACGAUCCCUAGCUGGUCUGAGAGGAUGAUCAGCCACACUGGAACUGAGACACGGUCCAGACUCCUACGGGAGGCAGCAGUGGGGAAUAUUGCACAAUGGGCGCAAGCCUGAUGCAGCCAUGCCGCGUGUGUGAAGAAGGCCUUCGGGUUGUAAAGCACUUUCAGUCGUGAGGAAGGUAGUGUAGUUAAUAGCUGCAUUAUUUGACGUUAGCGACAGAAGAAGCACCGGCUAACUCCGUGCCAGCAGCCGCGGUAAUACGGAGGGUGCGAGCGUUAAUCGGAAUUACUGGGCGUAAAGCGCAUGCAGGUGGUUUGUUAAGUCAGAUGUGAAAGCCCGGGGCUCAACCUCGGAAUUGCAUUUGAAACUGGCAGACUAGAGUACUGUAGAGGGGGGUAGAAUUUCAGGUGUAGCGGUGAAAUGCGUAGAGAUCUGAAGGAAUACCGGUGGCGAAGGCGGCCCCCUGGACAGAUACUGACACUCAGAUGCGAAAGCGUGGGGAGCAAACAGGAUUAGAUACCCUGGUAGUCCACGCCGUAAACGAUGUCUACUUGGAGGUUGUGGCCUUGAGCCGUGGCUUUCGGAGCUAACGCGUUAAGUAGACCGCCUGGGGAGUACGGUCGCAAGAUUAAAACUCAAAUGAAUUGACGGGGGCCCGCACAAGCGGUGGAGCAUGUGGUUUAAUUCGAUGCAACGCGAAGAACCUUACCUACUCUUGACAUCCAGAGAACUUUCCAGAGAUGGAUUGGUGCCUUCGGGAACUCUGAGACAGGUGCUGCAUGGCUGUCGUCAGCUCGUGUUGUGAAAUGUUGGGUUAAGUCCCGCAACGAGCGCAACCCUUAUCCUUGUUUGCCAGCGAGUAAUGUCGGGAACUCCAGGGAGACUGCCGGUGAUAAACCGGAGGAAGGUGGGGACGACGUCAAGUCAUCAUGGCCCUUACGAGUAGGGCUACACACGUGCUACAAUGGCGCAUACAGAGGGCGGCCAACUUGCGAAAGUGAGCGAAUCCCAAAAAGUGCGUCGUAGUCCGGAUUGGAGUCUGCAACUCGACUCCAUGAAGUCGGAAUCGCUAGUAAUCGUGGAUCAGAAUGCCACGGUGAAUACGUUCCCGAGCCUUGUACACACCG
rnacentral:rRNA from 1 species